rnacentral:lncRNA from 1 species
AUUUAGCUCAGUGGUUUCGCUGCCUGCUGUGCAGGCGCAAGGACCGAGUUCAAUCCCGGUACCAAAAAAACAAAACAAAAAGAAACAAAAUUAUUUCUAAACCUGUAGCACUAAACCUGAUACGACCCUGCUGUUUCAUAUCCUGAGAGACUGAGUUGAGGGGCAGGGUUCAGUCCAAGCCUGGGCCGAGGUCUGCUGCAAUCUGCUAGGCAACUAUAUUUUUGAGGAGGGAAUGGAUAACAACAAAUUGUUCGGGGCCUCAUACUCGGGCGCUGUUGCUAAGGAAACAAGUCUCUGGAGGCCACUCAGGCCGUUUGCUUCCAAGAGAUCUCCACAUUCAGACGCGUUCCUCGGCCUUUGUGGAUCCCGAGGAGGUCCAUAACACCAGACAGCUGAUGCUUGUUCUGAGAAAGGGAAGAACUUUUCUUACACAGCUGAAGACUCAAGUAGGUUACUAGAGCUGACAGUGGAAAGCAGAAAGCAAGAGGCUGUGAUCUUUCAAUAAAUCUAAUUCUGCGAGUGUGCAGCAGGGAGAGACUGCUAAGCAAGCAGUGCAGGGCCCGAGAUGAAGACUUCCGUGAAGCGCUUGGAAGACAGCCCCCGAGCAGGGUGACAUGUGCCACGUGGCCUUUUACGACUAACUCAGCGAUGGGGGUGAUAAGCGUUCACGAAGCAGAGCGAAAGUGAGGGCCGGAGUGACCCAGGGAAAUGGCUGAUCUGGGGACACAGCAGGGCUGGGGACGGGGGAGCCCGGGGAGGACGGGGGCACAGGGCAGGAAGCAAGGCUCCAGCGCUUGAGAAAUCCAAACCCAACACAGGAAGGGGAACAGCCUCCAUAAACAUUUGUGGAAACCUCAAAGAGCGAUUUUAAAAACGAAAAGAAAGUGGUUAAAAUUCUCAGAGAAUCAUGCGGAGUAAUGUGGUACAUGCUUAAGUUACCCGAAUGAAUCUAAAUUUAACCAACUAUUUUUGAAGUGCAGAUGGGAAAAACCAGAAUUGAGGGAGAUAAACCAUUCAGAAUCAUCCCAAGGCACAUGGACCUACGAAGCACUAGCUCUUACCUAAAUUAGUUUUAAAUGCUUGUGUUUUUAAAAGAGAAAAAUAAAAAUAACAAGCAUACUAGGAACAAAGAUGAAGGAGGAAGAAAAAGGUAGUGGAAGCUUCCACAUGCAGGAGGCCGAGGAGCAGCCCAUGGGAAGCCAACCCGAAUUCGAGGAUGCUCCCUGCAGUGGGGAUGAGGAGAGAGGAACCAGAAACACCCUCAGGGGAGAGGAGAGAGAAGGAGAGGAAUCGCAGACCUCCGCCAGACAGAUGCAGCGUGGGAAUCUGCGACCCGGCCAGGAGUGUGCCGGGACCUUAGACCCUGGCAGAUGUGCCCAGCUCUGCUCUUCUGAGACAAGUUGUGCUCGGUGAAGCUGCUGGGAAGGGAUCUGGGAAGACUUCGGCCACAAAUAACCCUCAAAGCCAGCUCUUCCCAGCGAAUUCCACGUAGGUCUCCUGAAGGAAAAUGACACCGAAAACUGCAGCUACAUAACGCAGGGAAAGACCAGUGGAGCCUGACAUGGGGUAGAGGCCUUCCCUGGGGACCCUUCUCAAGUGUCCCCUCAGGUAUUCGCUGUUGACAGAGUGACUCCCACCCGGGGAGCAAAGAGACCCUUGUUCAUGCUCACAUGCCCAGCACCUGAGGAGGCCUAGCACAGAGAAGCAGCUCAAUACAAACUCCCUGCAUGGAGGAAGGGAAGAAUUACAGCCAUAAAGGAAAGGAUUGGCCUUUAACAUUGUGAAAACAUGGAGGUGAAAGUUGCUUCUGAAAGAAACUGUGGGCUGUGGCUGUAGCUCCGUAGUAGCCUGUUUGCCUAGCAUGACCCAAGGCCCAGGGUUCAAUCCCCAGCACCACAAAAAUAAAUAAAAGAUUAAACCUCAAAACUGCAGUCCAGGCCUGAAAUUGAAUAUGGUUAUAUACUUGGGGGUUUUUUUAUUAGCCAGCUGAGAUUAUUUUCUAUUUUUAGGUUAAAAAUUUAGCCUUCUUUCCCUACAACUAGCUGUUCUGAAGUCAGGAAACGAAGCCAACUUAAAUACUGGCUGGAUCAAAACAACUCAAAGACAGGUGCUCACCAAAGAAAAAGCAAAUAAGUUCACAUUUAGAACCAAACAAGAAAAACAAUUCAGGAUUGCCUGUGUUAUUCUUUUAUGUGUUUUAUGUUAGGAAUAGGAAGAUAGUCUUGUCAUGGAGAUAAAGUUAAUUCCCAAGUUAGAUUCAAGGUAGAAGAGUUUACUAAAACCUUUUUCUAAUGUCUUCUCCACCAAACCUUCCAUCAUGCCACUUCCCCCAAAUAUCACAGUUACGUUCAAAUUAAACAAAAGGAUUUUUCCAAAGUCAAUUAAGAAUAUAUUUUAGAAAUUCAAGAUGGAGAGGCAGCCAGCACUCACCUGCGUUUCCACAAGGAAUCAGCGAAGUAACAGGUGCAGAGCAGCCUGUGAGGUGAGCAGGUGAGAGGGAAUGCUGGCUGUUAGCAGGAGAGCUUGUCAAUUCAGAGACCUGGGACAACAGCAUAGUAAGAGAAACAAAACUCUCAGUGCCUGCCAUCUGCUCCACAGCUGGGGAGAAGGAUUCCCUCCACCGUGCAGUUCAGGGUGAGGAAGGAUCCCAGCAAACUCUCAGGGUGGACGCCGGCAAUCCUGGCUACUGGAAAGUUCACAUUCUCACAGCCCCGCAGCCCACCUAGUACUGGAGAUUGAACCUACCCAGCGCUAGGCAGGCUCUGUGCCACUGAGCUACAUCCCUGACCCCUGCAACACACCCAUAUUUUAAAAAAUGGGCACAGGACUUGAACAGACAUUACUCCAAGUGGCAGGCGAAAACAGUAAGAGGUGGUUUGAUUCUUCCAUUUUGACUCUAGACCACAAACAAUAAAGACUUCCAAGUCUCCUUGGAUCCGUGUAACAGAAAAUUGUUCGAUGUGGUGGGCAGAAGGCCCGGAAGCUGUGGCUGGCCUGGGAGAGUGACUGGCCCGAGCUUCCCCUCCGACCACCCUGCAGAAGAGAAGUCACCGUCCCUGCAUGGCAGAGCUGUGUUACUACCAAACACAAGUGCGAGGAAGGCUUUUUCUCUGCCAGGGUAACUGCACGGAGCCUUCACUUCUCCCUGCCGUGGACAGCCAGCCGGCCAGGCUCCUCGGAGCUCUCAGUUCGGCCUUGACCUUGGCCCCUGUCCUCGCUAACCGGGUGUGACCCAAGUUUUAGCAAGAAUCUGAUCGAGCUCCAUCUCUCCCCUGUUGUGAUGCUCCUAUUCCAAGAGCCCCAAAUAAAGUCAUCGUUAUUUAACAAGUGUCAAAUUAAUUUUUGAAUACAUUUCAGCAGGAAGCUUAGAGGUUUUAAAAUUUUUUUAGCAUUGCAGAAGCAACAGUUGGGGGAGUGGGUCAUAGUUACUGGCAUAGUAGCCAAUAAUCUAGCCAACCAUUGAACUGUGUUCUGGUAAAU